rnacentral:rRNA from 1 species
UGGGGAUUUUCCGCAAUGGGCGAAAGUCUGACGCAGCGACACCGCGUGUGGGAUGAAGCGCUUCGGCGUGUAAACCACUGUGGCAGGGGAAUAACUCAAUGAAGGUACCCUGCUAGAAAGCACCAGCUAACCACGUGCCAGAAGCUUCGGUAAUACGUAGGUGGCAAGCGUUGUCCGGAUUUACUGGGCGUAAAGAGCGCGCAGGCGGUCGUUCAAGUCGCGUGUGAAAGCCCCCGGCUCAACUGGGGAGGGUCACGCGAUACUGAUCGACUCGAAGGCAGGAGAGGGAAGUGGAAUUCCCGGUGUAGUGGUGAAAUGCGUAGAUAUCGGGAGGAACACCAGUGGCGAAGGCGACUUCCUGGCCUGUUCUUGACGCUGAGGCGCGAAAGCUAGGGGAGCAAAAGGGAUUAGAUACCCCUGUAGUC